GGCCAUGACACAUUGAAACACUGGAUCUCGUACGAUCACCGAAGUUAAGCAACGUCGAACCUGGUCAGUAGCUAUAUGGGUGGCCGUUUCGGAAUACCAUGGGUGCUGUAA